CUCAUUUUUCUACUGCUCGUGGUAAGUGGCUUCGUGGUCUUUAUAGCUGUUACUCUUUUGUACUUUGUCUUUUUCUUUUAUUUUCUUUUGAGCGAUUGUGCGAACAUAGCAUAGCACGCACUAUGCCUUCUGUGUUGUAGCUGCCUGGCCAGGGCGACUGGCGGAUAAGGUCUUGUGCGUGGCCUCGAGGCUUAAAAGUAGCAGUGGGGCUUUGUGAAGGACAAAAUGGCGAUGGCGGGCCGUGUAGGUCCCCCUUCCUAUGAUGAGGACCUUUUCACAGACCUGUACUGAGCUCCGUGAGGAUAAAUAACUCUGAGGAGAUGGGCCCUGCAAGCCUCUUGCUUAGCCGUCUGUUCAGAAAAUAGCGUUUUCGAAAUGCCCUGAGUUGACCUAAUGUCUUAUUGGGCUCCUGUCUGCAGGAUUUACGCGCACGUUGGAACCGAAGAGAGCUCUGUUGUUGCAGUAAGUUCUUACGGCCAUUUCUUAAUCUCUGCUCUUUCGUUGAGUGUGUGGAAGUUGCUACGGGGAUGAUUUUACGAACUGAACUCUCUCUUUCUGAUGGAUUAGUGGAGAAAACAGAAAAUUCUGAGUAGCACUGUACUGUACGCAACAAAUGUCAGGGCCCUAUUGAUUUGUCUGAGGUGUUAGUGAAGGGUGUUAUUUUUUCAGAUGUUCAGCCCACAAGAGCUUACUGGUGAAGGAAUGGGACAAGACCCAUCUUUAUGCAAAGCCAGCGUUACAGUAAUGUUCCAGCAUCUCAUAAUCUAUCCUGGGGAAUUCAGCUGCCUCCCAGGGUGAAUACAGGUAUUCCUGAUGACAGUCUGCCUCUAUCUUACAGUAAGUUGUUUUUCGAAUUCUAUGGGCCUAUUAUCUAAUAGAUAACUUAGCCAUUUUGAUAUUUGUUACCAAAGCCUGCUUAACCCAUAAAGUUUUCUGGUUCCUCUUGUUCUCUGUAGUGAUGUUUCUAGAUAGAUGCCCACUGAUAUAUGCCCCUUUUUUCUCAGAUAGAUGCCCACUGAUCUGCCCAGGGUCAGACGAAUGCUUGUCAGUUGUAGCUUUCCAGGAUUCUGCUCCAAUGAGGAGGAAACAUCCUGCCUUACCCCUGUUUUAGCCUGGGAACCAGUAAUUGUGAACUCACCAGGGUUAACAUGAAGAGGGCAUGAGAGCUUAUUCCAUAAGGAAUUGUCUGAGACAUUUGGUUACCUUUUCUUAGUUUGUCCAUUAGCAACCGUAACUAAAAUAGUUUUGGCUGUUUGGGAUAAUUAGCUAAUUGAAUGAUUUUUUGAUUCAGGAGCAGCUUGUUGCUAUAUACCAUUGAAAAGCCUUCAGAGCUGAGAGGUUAGUUGAUAUUUUUUGUUCCUUACAGCUUAUGCCACCAAGUAGGCAGUUUCUAUGAUGAAUCAAACUAGCUCACUAUGACCGACAGUGAAAAUACAUGAACACCUGAGAAACUGGAGAACGCAGGGAGUGGGGGGUAACCAUGUCUGAGGAAUCUUUCACCCACAGCUUUGUUUUUCUCUAGGUACUACUAACCAAUAACCUGCUUGGCUCAAAGGUGAGUAAUUUCACGGUAUUCAAUGCACUCAGUAUAUAGGGUAGGAAAAAGUGCCUUUUUAGGCCUGUGUUUGUGAUGACUUACAUGGAAUCUCGUUCGGCUGAUGACUUGCUGUUGAGACUCUGAAAUCUGAUUUUCUGAGAAUGAUGGGUGGGAACAACAUAAUGCGGGAUAUGAGAAGCACUACUGACUUGGUCUUCCUCCUUUCAGGGCCAGCACCUUCUCUCUAAAGCCCAAGAGGAGUUUGAGGAAAACUAGGUGUCUGUGUUCACUCCAGGCUGAAGUUACAGGUCUGAGCAAAUAAGGUGUAUAAAAAAUGGAAUCUGUCUUGGAGGACAUCAGAAGAUACAAGGGCUUGGUUUUGUUACCCAGGCUGGUUUCAAGGCCAUAGCUUUAAGAGAUCCUCUCACCACAGAUUUCCAAAGUGCUGGGAUUGCAGGUGUGAUUCAUGGCACCCAGACUUUGCUGCCUUUCUUACAUGAUCCAGGCCCAGAACCCAAACUCAGGCACUGUAUAGAUGACCACUUUCGUAAACUACUGACCUAGCUUGUUGCCAAUUGUUGAUUGAACUUCCCAUAACUCCACUUCGUGUCUGUUCCUCUGUAUACAGCCACCUUCUGUUCCCGUCAUGAGCCUUUAGGUCUCCAUUUGCAUAUUGCAAAUACUAUGUUCCAUGUAGGUAGCUCAUUCAGGGCCUUGCUCUUCACUUCAAAAAAGGUUCCCUUGAGGACUGGCUGUCAAUUUGUGUUGCUGUGUUGGUUGUUGAUGAAAAUAAUAAAAUGAUUGAUUACAUAGUCCUGUUUACUUUUUUUGUGUGUAUGUGUCUCUUAGCAUCAGUGUGUAAAUUUCCAUGGGAAACUGGCUUUCCUCUCAUGCUCCCUGAAGUACCUGGAACUUGAAGGGACAUC
rnacentral:lncRNA from 10 species